rnacentral:rRNA from 1 species
AACGAACGCUGGCGGCGCGUCUUAAACAUGCAAGUCGAACGGCAGGAAGGGGCUUGCCCCUUCUGAGAGUGGCGGACUGGUGAGUAACACGUGGGUGACAUACCUUUUAGUUGGGGAUAGCUAUUAGAAAUAGUAGGUAAUACCGAAUGUGACCGUACCUGUUAGAGGGGUACGAGGAAAGGAGCUAAGGCUUCGCUAAAAGAAUUGCCCGCGGCCCAUUAUGCUCGUUGGUGGGGUAACGGCCCACCAAGGCGAUGAUGGGUAUCCGGCCUGAGAGGGUGAACGGACACAUUGGGACUGAGAUACGGCCCAGACUUCUACGGGAGGCAGCAGUUAAGAAUAUUCCGCAAUGGACGAAAGUCUGACGGAGCGACGCCGCGUGGAUGAAGAAUGCCGAAAGGUUGUAAAAUCCUUUUAAGCCUGAUGAAUAAGAACAGUAGGGAAUGAUUGUGUGGUGACCGUAGGCCUUGAAUAAGCACCGGCUAAUUUCGUG